rnacentral:tRNA from 1 species
ACGGCUGUAGCUCAAAGGCGAGAGCCCGACCCCGCGAAGGUCGAGGAUGCAGGUUCAACUCCUGCCGGCCGUA